AUUGAACGCUGGCGGCAUGCCUUACACAUGCAAGUCGGACGAGUGGCGUACGGGUGAGUAAUAUCUCGGAACCUACCGCGUAACGGGGGAUAACUAAUCGAAAGAUUAGCUAAUACCGCAUACUAUUCGAGCGGCCGAUAUCUGAUUAGCUGGUUGGUGGGGUAACGGCGUACCAAGGCGACGAUCAGUAGCGGGUCUGAGAGGAUGAUCAGCCACACUGGAACUGAGACACGGUCCAAACUCCUACGGGAGGAGGCAGUGGGGAAUUGUGGACAAGGGGCGCAGGCCUGAUCCAGCCAUGCCGCGUGUAUGAAGAAGGCCUUCGGGUUGUAAAGGACUUUCGUCAGGGAGGCGGUACCUGAAGAAUAAGCACCGGCUAACUACGGGCCAGCAGCCGCGGUAAUUC
rnacentral:rRNA from 1 species